rnacentral:rRNA from 1 species
UGGGGAAUAUUGGACAAUGGGCGAAAGCCUGAUCCAGCCAUGCCGCGUGUGUGAAGAAGGUCUUCGGAUUGUAAAGCACUUUAAGUUGGGAGGAAGGGCAUUAACCUAAUACGUUAGUGUUUUGACGUUACCGACAGAAUAAGCACCGGCUAACUCUGUGCCAGCAGCCGCGGUAAUACAGAGGGUGCAAGCGUUAAUCGGAAUUACUGGGCGUAAAGCGCGCGUAGGUGGUUUGUUAAGUUGGAUGUGAAAGCCCUGGGCUCAACCUGGGAACUGCAUCCAAAACUGGCAAGCUAGAGUACGGUAGAGGGUGGUGGAAUUUCCUGUGUAGCGGUGAAAUGCGUAGAUAUAGGAAGGAACACCAGUGGCGAAGGCGACCACCUGGACUGAUACUGACACUGAGGUGCGAAAGCGUGGGGAGCAAACA